UUAUCCUUGUCCAAUACUUUUGAGUAUAAUGGCUUGAAGCUUCCAUUUCCUUAUUACUAUAAUCUUCGAGAUGUACUCAUUGAUUAUAUCCAUUCUUUUCAUUUGUUGAAUGCUUAUAACCAUUAUCACCCUCUUCUUCAUCUUGAUAUAAUCUUGCAUCAAUAGCAUAACUAAUUCUAGCUUCGCUCAUUAAUUGCCUC
rnacentral:lncRNA from 1 species